AAAAGGGAUACUGAAUGGAGAAUAAUCGCAAAUAGGACGAAAAAUGAAGGUUUGGUCCAGGUGGAACACCAAUAGAGGCUGUUUGCCUUCCAUUCAACUUGGGUUUUAAUAGCAUCAUUAAAUACUCUGAUGACGUGUGGUUGUCUGUGUGAGCAGGAUUUGUGGAGGUAUGCAAUUACGUUACCGCCAUGCAGAACUGGUAGCCUUGUCAUUUG
rnacentral:lncRNA from 1 species